UGUUGGGGGUGCUUUGAAUGUGAUUUCCUGCUUCUUGGGAGGGGGUUGGACUGGAUGGCCCAUGAGGUCUCUUCCAACUCUACUAUUCUAUGAUUCUACUCCUCUAGAGCUGCUGCUGCUGUUGCUGCUGUGGUUUACUUGCAAAUUCCAAUAUGAGCUACAAAACAAAUCCGUCCAGAAAAAAAUGUGAUAGAACACCUCAAUUCAAGCCAUGAAAUCUUUUAAAUCUCUCCUGUGUAUAAACAAAGUAAGGGAUGGAACUGAAUACCAGAUAUGGAGUGCAAAUGUAAACAGGGAUAAAGCUGGAGCUGUUAGAGUAAAAAAGAGAGAGAAAAACGUGAUCUUGGUUGAGCUAAUUACUCUGGGUCAGAAUGUGGGUUACAGAGAUUUGGUGGAUCUGUGUAAACUCCUUUGCAACUUGCAGAUGGCUUGUGUGGUGCCUGGUUAGGCACUCCAAAGCAAACUGAAUCUGUAUAAUCCACAUUUGGAUUAAUUUCUUGUGUGGAAGCAGCUAUCGUGUAUGUCACUCUUUACUAUUCAGUAUCUUCAGAAUAUUGCAAAAACUGUAAGUGAAGUCACUGGAGUAGAAAACAUGUAUCAUUUUAAGUUUAAUAGGUACAGGGAUUAUAGUACUCAAAUUUCCCCAGACAACAGGACUAUUGCCCAUAUGUGCUCAUAAUUAUUGAAUCUGUAGCCCCCAGAUAACUUUUCCAAGGCUUUGUAGGUAAUUCUUAUGGGUCCAGUUUGGCACAAAUGUGUGAAAUCAUAAAUGUUGGGCAUUAAUUCAGACAAAAUAGGAUUUAGCUCUAGCUAGCCUCUAAGCCAAAAGAAGAACAAAAUCAAAACCUCUGGCCUGUUGGAGAAAUCUUUUGAAGACAUUACCUGAGCAUCACAUAUCUUUGUUCAUACCAAUGCCCCUUUGAUAUCAUUCAGUUUCUCUUGUGCCAUUAUAGUGAUAUCCUGACAUCAGAAACUAUUUCAUUGCCACUUCUCUGACCAUUCUAUAAUCCAGUCUCAAAAUAUUUGUCAUCAGCGUUCUACUUUCUUGCAGACAUGCUGUCAGCAAAUCAUAUCUGUCUAAAUAAAAUGAUAGCAUUUCCCAGGGAGAAAUUCCAGGUUAGAGAAAAUUAGAUUUGGGGUCAGGGAUAUAUUUCUUGUGUGUUGUAAGGAACACAAAAGCUGUUUUAUGUGCAUAGUUCCUGCAGGUGUAGAGAAAGAGAAUCUAUACUCACAACCUACUGUUCUAGUCUUAGCAUUUUAAAUGAUGGAGACGGGAAAUAAUUUUCCACUGGCAGGGAAUGAGUACUCAUUUUGUAGAUGACAGGGAAAACCAUUGCAAAGUGGUGCUCUGCUUUGAAUGAGAGAGAAAGAUCUUCACCAGGAGGGAACAUUGAUAACUAGGCAUCUUUGAAAGUUAGGGAGUAGGAAUCUGUAAAGGGUUUAUUAUCCCCAGUGCAGGGGCAGUCCAAACUGUUUGUGAUUGUUUGUUAAUGGUAUCUCUUAGCAAAAGAAUUCUUAACUGGAAAUAAAUAGAUAUGGAUUGCCAUGCUGGGUCAGCUAUAUGGUCUAUCUAAUAAAAUGUUCUGACUGGUGUGAAUGUAAGACUCACAGAGUAUCAAAAAAUAGGAAAUGAUAAUGGUAGUCACUUCCUAUUUUUUCUCACCACCAUUAGUGUCAGAAGUCUGUUGUUUUAUUGAGGUGUUCAGGCUUAUCUACCAUGUAUUGAUCUGAUCUUUCUCUUUUUAAAAGAAGUGCUAUAAUUUAGUUGUUCUGGAAAACAAUUCUACCCUGAAUUAUCAAGAUUGGAGGGGUAUUUAAAUCUGAACCUAAAUUUUAGUUCCAACAAAAGGAGACAAUUGAAUCAAUUUUGAUUGCCAAAUCAAAGUAAUUUCUAUAAUCUCUACCCUAGUUGGCUUCACUCUGGUUGUAACUAUCCCUUGAAUUAAAACAAAGUGUGGUUCAGGGCUCUAUUUGUUCAUAGAAGAGAAAAAGGUUGUGUGCAUGAGUGCAUGUGUGUGUGUGU
ensembl:lncRNA